rnacentral:rRNA from 1 species
CUAAGCAUAAGCAAUCUAUACCGUGAAACUGCGAAUGGCUCAUUAAAUCAGUUAUCGUUUAUUUGAUAGUACCUUACUACUUGGAUAACCGUGGUAAUUCUAGAGNUAAUACAUGCUAAAAACCUCGACUUCGGNAGGGGUGUAUUUAUUAGAUAAAAAACCAAUGCCCUUCGGGGCUCCUUGGUGAUUCAUAAUAACUUAACGAAUCGCAUGGCCUUGUGCCGGCGAUGGUUCAUUCAAAUUUCUGCCCUAUCAACUUUCGAUUGUAGAGUAGUGGUCUACAAUGGUUUCAACGGGUAACGGGGAAUUAGGGUUCUAUUCCGGAGAGGGAGCCUGAGAAACGGCUACCACAUCCAAGGAAGGCAGCAGGCGCGCAAAUUACCCAAUCCCGACACGGGGAGGUAGUGACAAUAAAUACUGAUACAGGGCCCUUUNGGGNCUUGUAAUUGGAAUGAGUACAAUUUAAUCCCUUAACGAGGAACAAUGGAGGGCAAGCCUGGUGCCAGCAGCCGCGGUAAUUCCAGCUCCAAUAGCGUAUAUUAAA